AGCAGCCGCGGUAAUUCCAGCUCCAAUAGCGUAUAUUAAAGUUGUUGCAGUUAAAAAGCUCGUAGUUGAAUUUCGGGAUCAAUUUAUCGGUCGUGCCAAUGGUAUGAACUGGUACAAUUGGUUUCUCCCUUCUGACGAAGCAUGAUGUCAUUAAUUUGGUGUCGUGGGGAAUCAGGACUGUUACUUUGAAAAAUUAGAGUGUUUAAAGCAAGCAUUAGCUUGAAUACAUUAGCAUGGAAUAAUGAAAUAGGACGUUUGAUCCUAUUUCGUUGGUUUCUAGGAUCGACGUAAUGAUUAAUAGGGAUAGUUGGGGGCAUUAGUAUUCAAUUGUCAGAGGUGAAAUUCUUGGAUUUAUUGAAGACUAACUACUGCGAAAGCAUUUGCCAAGGAUGUUUUCAUUAAUCAAGAACGAAAGUUAGGGGAUCGAAGACGAUCAGAUACCGUCGUAGUCUUAACCAUAAAACUAUGCCGACUAGGGAUCGGAUGAUGUUAAUUUUAAUGACUCAUUC
rnacentral:rRNA from 1 species